CAUCGUCCUCUAGUCCCCAGCAAUUAACGUGAUGCCUGGCACAUGGCUGGCAUUAACGCAGACGCUCAAAACCAUCCCAUGCUGCCCCCUGGGACACGAGCCCAGCACUCUUCAUCUGGGAUCUCUCCCUCUUCACUUGGGUUUCUAUCUUCUGCAAAGAGUUGCUUCUGAGGCAAUGAAGGCCUUGGCUCCGUGUGGUCAGGGAGAUGUGUGGAGCUCAACAAUGGAAAAUUCCUCAGUUAAUAUCACCAAAUUUCAUUCCGGCAUAUGUAAUAUGGGACCAAUUAUGUACCCAUGUCUUCAGAUUGUUAUGAGGAUUUGAUGAGAUAAUCCAUGAGAAACCUUUAACACACUGCUUGGCAUGUAGAAAGGGCUCAGUAAAUGUUGCCUGUUAUUGUUAUUACUUCCACCAUCACGCUGCUCAUUGCUUUCCACUGGGAAAGGAAAAUAGACUCCUGGAUUCACUGUCCCUGCCCGUGAACAGAGGUGGUUUUGGAAGCCAUGGGAGCACCCAGUGACCUUCUCCUCAAACUCGGCUUCUCUGAAUUAGACCAGGCCAAGGUGAAUGCUCAUAUGUAGCACAUGGAAACCCAGGCGUGCUGGCUCAGCUUUGGAGCAGUGGAAGCAACUAGAAGCUACUGGAGGAAGCUGAUCAACCAUACAGCCUCCCAGGUCCUGGCAUCUGACCCAAGUAUCAGCCUACCAGUAUUGCCACCUGCUGACACAUUUACGUGGUAACAGAUUAUGAGAGGUUUGACAAAGAUCCUGAAUGUCUUAUCCACAAUGGUACAAACCACUUGGAGUGGAAGGAAACACUAUAUGGAAAUUGCCAUCUGCCCAAGCAGCCUGAUUAGAUGACAUCUGCAGACCUCCAUAGAACCAGCUGAUACAUUCACCCUUUCCUGGAAGUCUGGAUUAUACAACCCCAUUACAAGCUGGUGGAAGGCAAACUGUGAAGGUGAUGAAGGUCUUCAGACGAGAUAAAAAGAGCAUGUGGUCUGCAGUCCAGCAGAGCCCUCUCAGUAUUGGUUUCAUUGCAUCUGAUUGAUUGAUUGAUUGAUUGAUUGAGACAAAGUCUCACU